rnacentral:rRNA from 1 species
GUGCCAGCAGCCGCGGUAAUACGUAGGGAGCAAGCGUUGUCCGGAUUUACUGGGUGUAAAGGGUGCGUAGGCGGUUCUGCAAGUCAGUUGUGAAAACUAUGGGCUUAACCCAUAGCCUGCAAUUGAAACUGUGGGACUUGAGUGAAGUAGAGGUAGGUGGAAUUCCCGGUGUAGCGGUGAAAUGCGUAGAGAUCGGGAGGAACACCAGUGGCGAAGGCGGCCUACUGGGCUUUAACUGACGCUGAAGCACGAAAGCAUGGGUAGCAAACAGGAUUAGAUACCCUGGUAGUCCAUGCCGUAAACGAUGAUUACUAGGUGUGGGGGGUCUGACCCCUUCCGUGCCGGAGUUAACACAAUAAGUAAUCCACCUGGGGAGUACGACCGCAAGGUUGAA